rnacentral:rRNA from 1 species
AGGAAUAUUGGUCAAUGGGCGCGAGCCUGAACCAGCCAAGUAGCGUGAAGGAUGAAGGUCCUACGGAUUGUAAACUUCUUUUAUAAGGGAAUAAAGUCACCCACGUGUGGGUGUUUGUAUGUACCUUAUGAAUAAGCAUCGGCUAACUCCGUGCCAGCAGCCGCGGUAAUACGGAGGAUGCGAGCGUUAUCCGGAUUUAUUGGGUUUAAAGGGAGCGUAGACGGGCCGUUAAGUCAGCUGUGAAAGUUUGAGGCUCAACCUUAAAAUUGCAGUUGAUACUGGCGUCCUUGAGUACGGUCGAGGCAGGCGGAAUUCGUGGUGUAGCGGUGAAAUGCUUAGAUAUCACGAAGAACCCCGAUUGCGAAGGCAGCCUGCUAAACCGCCACUGACGUUGAGGCUCGAAAGUGUGGGUAUCAAACAGGAUUAGAUACCCUGGUAGUCCACACGGUAAACGAUGGAUACUCGCUGUUGGCGAUAGACUGUCAGCGGCUUAGCGAAAGCGUUAAGUAUCCCACCUGGGGAGUACGCCGGCAACGGUGAAACUCAAAGGAAUUGACGGGGGCCCGCACAAGCGGAGGAACAUGUGGUUUAAUUCGAUGAUACGCGAGGAACCUUACCCGGGCUUGAAUUGCAGACGAAUUGCUUGGAAACAGGCAAGCCGCAAGGCGUCUGUGAAGGUGCUGCAUGGUUGUCGUCAGCUCGUGCCGUGAGGUGUCGGCUUAAGUGCCAUAACGAGCGCAACCCUCGUGUCCAGUUACUAGCAGGUUAUGCUGAGGACUCUGGACAGACUGCCAUCGUAAGAUGUGAGGAAGGUGGGGAUGACGUCAAAUCAGCACGGCCCUUACGUCCGGGGCUACACACGUGUUACAAUGGGGGGUACAGCAGGCAGCUACCGGGCGACCGGAUGCCAAUCCCGAAAGCCUCUCUCAGUUCGGACUGGAGUCUGCAACCCGACUCCACGAAGCUGGAUUCGCUAGUAAUCGCGCAUCAGCCACGGCGCGGUGAAUACGUUCCCG